rnacentral:rRNA from 1 species
ACGAGAAUCUACUGAAGGAGGAUUCGUCCAACGGAAGUAGAGGAAAGUGGCGGACGGGUGAGUAACGCGUGAGGAACCUGCCUUGAAGAGGGGGACAACAGUUGGAAACGACUGCUAAUACCGCAUGACGCAUAGAGGUCGCAUGAUUUUUAUGCCAAAGAUCUAUCGCUUCAAGAUGGCCUCGCGUCUGAUUAGCUAGUUGGCGGGGUAACGGCCCACCAAGGCGACGAUCAGUAGCCGGACUGAGAGGUUGAACGGCCACAUUGGGACUGAGAUACGGCCCAGACUCCUACGGGAGGCAGCAGUGGGGAAUAUUGGGCAAUGGGCGCAAGCCUGACCCAGCAACGCCGCGUGAAGGAAGAAGGCUUUCGGGUUGUAAACUUCUUUUAAGAGGGAAGAGCAGAAGACGGUACCUCUAGAAUAAGCCACGGCUAACUACGUGCCAGCAGCCGCGGUAAUACGUAGGUGGCAAGCGUUGUCCGGAUUUACUGGGUGUAAAGGGCGUGCAGCCGGGUCUGCAAGUCAGAUGUGAAAUCCAUGGGCUCAACCCAUGAACUGCAUUUGAAACUGUAGAUCUUGAGUGUCGGAGGGCAAUCGGAAUUCCUAGUGUAGCGGUGAAAUGCGUAGAUAUUAGGAGGAACACCAGUGGCGAAGGCGGAUUGCUGGACGAUAACUGACGGUGAGGCGCGAAAGUGUG